UUUUGCUCAAUGGGGGAAACCCUGAAGCAGCAACGCCGCGUGAGGGAUGAAGGCCUUCGGGUUGUAAACCUCUUUUGUCAGGGACGAUGAUGACGGUACCUGGCGAAUAAGCCACGGCUAACUACGUGCCAGCAGCCGCGGUAAUACGUAGGUGGCAAGCGUUGUCCGGAUUUACUGGGCGUAAAGAGCGCGCAGGCGGUCAUGUAAGUCGAAUGUGAAAGCCCCUGGCUCAACCAGGGAGGGUCAUUCGAUACUGCUUGACUCGAAGGCAGGAGAGGGAAGUGGAAUUCCGGGUGUAGUGGUGAAAUGCGUAGAUAUCCGGAGGAACACCAGUGGCGAAGGCGACUUUCUGGCCUGUUCUUGACGCUGAGGCGCGAAAGCUAGGGGAGCAAACGG
rnacentral:rRNA from 1 species